UGGGGAAUUGUUCGCAAUGGGCGCAAGCCUGACGACGCAACGCCGCGUGGAGGAUGAAGAUCUUCGGGUCGUAAACUCCUUUCGAUCGAGACGAACGGCCUCUGGGUGAACAACCCAGAGGAGUGACGGUACCGAGAGAAGAAGCCCCGGCUAACUCCGUGCCAGCAGCCGCGGUAAUACGGGGGGGGCAAGCGUUGUUCGGAAUUACUGGGCGUAAAGGGCUCGUAGGUGGCCAACUAAGUCAUACGUGAAAUCCCUCGGCUUAACCGGGGAACUGCGUCUGAUACUGGAUGGCUUGAGUUUGGGAGAGGGACGCGGAAUUCCAGGUGUAGCGGUGAAAUGCGUAGAUAUCUGGAGGAACACCGGUGGCGAAGGCGGCGUCCUGGACCAACACUGACACUGAUGAGCGAAAGCCAGGGGAGCAAACGGGAUUAGAUACCCCCGUAGUCC
rnacentral:rRNA from 1 species